CAACAGCCCUUCAGGAGUCCUGAAGGACCAGUGAAGGGCAGCUCAGAAGAAACGCCAUCAACCAACUUCAACGAAAAUGGCGAACCAGAUUCUGCAACGUCAACAGCUUCUGUUUACAAAAGUGCUGAAGGACAAGUACAUUUGGGGAAGAAUGUAUACGUUACAGAAGCUCUCUAUAACCGCCUCAUGGCUGCGAAGACGGACAGCCGAUUUGUUCGGGAAGCUGCUGUGGCAAUUUUUUCGACGGCAGGCUUGGCUGGCCACAGUGUGACCGGUGCAGUGUCAAACCGGACGAAAACUGGCGCAAAGCCAGCGUUGGACAAAACUAAGUACUCAGUCCUAAGUGAUUUCUUCAGCAACUUUUUACUACAACGGUAUCCGAUUGGGGAGAUGGAAAAAAGAAAAAAACUUAUGAAUAAAAUCCUGGCUGUCAAGAUUGCCGACAUAAUGAAAGUGAGUUCAGCAGGACAGCAGGACAGCGACAGAGAAAGUACCAGCAAUCAUGGAGAACUUGAAGAAGCAGGAAAAACGUGUAUGUGG